UACGUAGGGAGCAAGCGUUGUCCGGAAUUAUUGGGCGUAAAGAGCUCGUAGGCGGUUUGUCGCGUCUGCUGUGAAAGUCCGAGGCUCAACCUCGGAUCUGCAGUGGGUACGGGCAGACUAGAGUGUGGUAGGGGAGACUGGAAUUCCUGGUGUAGCGGUGGAAUGCGCAGAUAUCAGGAGGAACACCAAUGGCGAAGGCAGGUCUCUGGGCCACAACUGACGCUGAGGAGCGAAAGCAUGGGGAGCAAACAGG
rnacentral:rRNA from 1 species